rnacentral:rRNA from 1 species
AUUGAACGCUGGCGGCAGGCCUAACACAUGCAAGUCGAACGGUAGCACAGGAGAGCUUGCUCUCUGGGUGACGAGUGGCGGACGGGUGAGUAAUGCAUGGGGAGCUGCCCAAUCGAGGGGGAUACCAGCUGGAAACGGCUGCUAAUACCGCAUACGCCCUGAGGGGGAAAGGUGGGGACCUUCGGGCCUACCGCGAUUGGAUGCACCCAUGUGGGAUUAGCUAGUUGGUGAGGUAACGGCUCACCAAGGCGACGAUCUCUAGCUGGUCUGAGAGGAUGACCAGCCACACUGGAACUGAGACACGGUCCAGACUCCUACGGGAGGCAGCAGUGGGGAAUAUUGCACAAUGGGGGAAACCCUGAUGCAGCCAUGCCGCGUGUGUGAAG